CCUACGGGGCGCAGCAGUGGGGAAUAUUGGGCAAUGGGCGAAAGCCUGACCCAGCAACGCCGCGUGAAGGAAGAAGGCUUUCGGGUUGUAAACUUCCUUUGACAGGGAAGAGCAGAAGACGGUACCUGUCGAAUAAGCCACGGCUAACUACGUGCCAGCAGCCGCGGUAAUACGUAGGUGGCAAGCGUUAUCCGGAUUUACUGGGUGUAAAGGGCGUGUAGGCGGGGACGCAAGUCAGAUGUGAAAACCAUGGGCUCAACCUGUGGCCUGCAUUUGAAACUGUGUUUCUUGAGUACUGGAGAGGG
rnacentral:rRNA from 1 species